CACUUACAAUAUACAAACUGAACAAAAGAAAGUUGAAGACUGUGGGACAGUGUAUUUCCAUAGUAACGGCAGAAGUUUGAUAGCGUCAGGAGCUGCAUUACUCAACAGGCAACUCUCCUAGUAGCUCAUCAAGAUCAUCUGCAAGACACACAGACAGGGCCUCCUCUGUGGCCUCUGGCCCUGAAGGCUGGACCACCAUGUUAGCAGAAGAUGCAGGGUUAGCUGGGUUGGCGCUCUGAUCUCCCUCUUCCUCAUCAUCGUCAUAAUGCAGCUCCAUCUGAGACACAGGGACCCCUAUGGGCCUAGAGGACUCACACUGUGGCAAUCCAACAGCAUCCUAGACAUACAUACAACAAAGAAAAACACUGCUGAAGAAGUGGUGUUUUCAGUACUGGAGCACGACACUGACAUGAAACACCAUGACGAUGCUGUAGGAAUGCAGGAAACAGGAAGGGUUCCUCUCAUCCAAUCCCAUCUCAGCCUUCAUCGCUGCCCACGGACCCCCACUGAACUCUUCUUCCUCACUCACUUGGGACCUGGGGACCUGCACAUAAACGUACUCACUAAGACUGAAGUGCAUUUCCCUGCCCUCAUAAUACUAAUUACAUAAGAAUUACUAUAAAUUAAACACAUACAAUAGUAUGCAGAAGUCUGAACAAAUCCUGGUCAAAUUACAUGUUUUACUGAUUUCCUAAGUGAAAAUAAAUCAACACAUACUCUACAGGGAACAAAUGUAAAUAUGGCAUUUUACCUACAAAUUAAUUGCACAAUUUAUAUUUAUUUGUUGACUAACAUAUUGGGAAAAAUGUGUGUGUGGCACGUCAGCUGUUUUGCUCUACCAAAGACAGACAUUUCAAUAUACACACAGCCAGACAAUGGGAAGAGAGUGUGGAAGCCCACGAAAUUUGUUAUUGUUCUUGGCCAAGUGUAAACAAUGGCAAGAGCUUACAUUUAUUUUAUGCUUUUAAUUAUGCUUUAUAUAUGCAUAUGUGCAUAACAGUAAUGGCUGAUUAUUGCUGCUCCUGUGAGGUAAAGUUAAAUCACAGUGGUCAGACAAGGUUCACUUACGGUUAUUGUAAGUUGUAUUAUUGCAAUUUUUUAUAAUGUCAUUUUAAUCCCCUCCGCCUUCACACACAUAAAUAAAAAUACUGAAAAAACCUUCAUCCUAUUCUUUUUACUGCUAUUAAGCAAAGUCAAUGUUAUUGCAGACUAAAUUUAAGUUAAUUCUCCUCUACAUGUUUUGGUGCCUUUUCAGUUGAUUUCAGUGAAGUUUGCAAUAAGUGGGAAUGUUCUUUUUAUGACAUUGUUGAGGAUUUUUGUAGUUAACAAGUACUAGACUACUCUGAGAUGGUCCUAAAUCAAAUUACAGUCACAGCCACAGAUAAGAGCUAUGACAAAAACACAAAAAAAAAGUUAAGAAUCGCUGAAGCAGCCGGUUUUGACUAUGCCUGGGAAGACACGAUGGUCAUGACAGUCUUAAGAGCUUUGAUAAUCCAACCCGUCAUUCACUUUAGUUAUCUGUCCCACUAUUUCUCUGGAAAAUAAAUGCAAUGAUUGUUUUGAUAGAUAAUGUAUUUCAAAUUUGAAUACUACACAAACCAACAAGGGGAAAAAUCUGAAUUUGAUCUCUGACCUCAUCUGACAGCCCUACUACAGCUACAGUGUAUUCAAUAUUCAAAGGAAUGAAGCUGUAGUUAGCUUUGAGCUAACACCCAAGGCAUCAUGAAAGAGAGACCACCCAUACUGGGGCACCCCAAACACUUGUAAAGCUGUAUCAACUGAACCACUAUCUCAAGUAUACCAAUAACCAUUUGCAGGCAUUUCAUUUUAAGUCAUACUAGGCACUAUACAAAUGUACUUGCUGGUUUCUACAGACGUAGUUGUUUGUGUCUUUAGUUAUGCAUUUCAGCUAUGAAAAGUAAUUAAAGAUUAUACCCCACCACU